rnacentral:rRNA from 1 species
AUGGAUAUGAAGAUGUAAUGUUCUAGCGGCGGACGGGUGAGUAACGCGUGAGCAACCUGUCCCUUACAGGGGGAUAACACAGCGAAAGUUGUACUAAUACCGCAUAAGACCACAGAGUGACAUCGCUUAGGGGUCAAAGGAGCAAUCCGGUAAGGGGUGGGCUCGCGUCCGAUUAGAUAGUUGGUGAGGUAACGGCCCACCAAGUCGACGAUCGGUAGCCGACCUGAGAGGGUGAUCGGCCACAUUGGGAUUGAGACACGGCCCAAACUCCUACGGGAGGCAGCAGUGGGGAAUAUUGGGCAAUGGGGGAAACCCUGACCCAGCAACGCCGCGUGAGGGAAGAAGGUUUUCGGAUCGUAAACCUCUGUCCUUGGUGAAGAGAAAGAGACGGUAGCCAAGGAGGAAGCCCCGGCUAACUACGUGCCAGCAGCCGCGGUAAUACGUAGGGGGCGAGCGUUGUCCGGAAUGAUUGGGCGUAAAGGGCGCGUAGGCGGCCCGGUAAGUCUGGAGUGAAAGUCCUGCUUUUAAGGUGGGAAUUGCUUUGGAUACUGUCGGGCUUGAGUGCAGGAGAGGUAAGUGGAAUUCCCAGUGUAGCGGUGAAAUGCGUAGAGAUUGGGAGGAACACCAGUGGCGAAGGC